GUAACUGGGCCCGGGGGUGCUGUGGACCUCUGAGAAACAACUGAGGAAAAGACAUCCUCUCAAUACAGGAUACUGGUGUCAAUGUUGGCUGGCUCCAAGGAGCUGUUGAUAUCAUGGCCUAAGGGGGAGAGAACAAGGAAGGCUGCAUGCUUGGUGUGCCAUGGGCCCCUGAAUGUUGUACACAGCACAAAAGAUCUAACCAAUGAGCAGGAGCAGCGCAGAAGACCUGAACUCUGGUCUGCUAUCCAGCUCUAUGGCCUUCAAAUAUCACAAAAAGAGUCCCUACAUCCUACCUCACCACUCCCACCACAUCAUUUCAGAAUGACUGUUACUUGAUGGUUCAUUAAUACUCAUACACUCGUAUUAUGUCUACUCUCACAUAUUUACAGGAGUUCAUCUAACUCACUUUCAAGGGAAUCAGUUUUGUGCUCGGUAAAAAUCCUGUUUUAAAAGGUGAACAAAUAAAUGCUUGACAGGGACCCUGGCUGACCUACCCACCUUGAUCCCUUGCAGAACAAAGUUGAUUUGUCCUGCCACUGUGGGCUCUUGGUCUUUCUCAGUACAUGACAUGGCUGGGAUCAAACCCAGGCCACAGAGCUCAGUUUGUACUCACAGUAGCCCCUU